AUGACCUGGGUCAGCUGUGAAGAUCUCACUGCAUUACAGAGAGAAGAGUUCAGUCCAGAAGGCAGCUCUGUUACUCUGUCCUACAGAUACUCCAAACAAGCAGCUGGUGGUGAUCAGUUUUACUGGUAUCGACAAUAUCCAGGAAAACCACCAGAGUUCAUCAUCUCUCAUUUAGGAACUGGAAACAUUAUGAAUAAUCUGAUCCCUGGACUGAAGAUUAAAGUGCAGUCAAACCAAAUCAAUCUGAGCCUCUCCUCUGCUGCAGUGACAGACUCUGCUGUGUUCUACUGUGCUGUGAGGCCCACAGUGACAGGAAACACCAACACUCUGUACAAAAACACCAGCUGA